rnacentral:lncRNA from 10 species
AAGGUUCCGCGCCGGGCGUGGACGGUGUGGGGCGGUCCCGGCCCCGCAGGCGGAGUCUCCCUCUGUCGCCCAGGCUGGAGUGCAGUGGUACAAUCUCGGCUCACUGCCAGCUCCGCCUCCCGGGUUCACGCCAUUCACCAGCCUCAGCCUCCCGAGUAGCUGGGACUACAGGCACCUGCCACCAUGCCCGGCUAAUUUUUUUGUAUUUUUAGUAGAGAUGGGGUUUCACCGUAUUAGCCAGGAUGGUCUCGAUCUCCUGACCUCGUGAUCCGCCCGCCUUGGCCUCCCAAAGUGCUGGGAUUAC